UACGAAGGGGGCUAGCGUUGUUCGGAAUCACUGGGCGUAAAGCGCUCGUAGGCGGAUCUUUAAGUCGGAGGUGAAAUCCCAAGGCUCAACCUUGGAACUGCCUUUGAUACUGGGGAUCUCGAGUCCGGGAGAGGUGAGUGGAACUGCGAGUGUAGAGGUGAAAUUCGUAGAUAUUCGCAAGAACACCAGUGGCGAAGGCGGCUCACUGGCCCGGUACUGACGCUGAGGAGCGAAAGCGUGGGGAGCAAACAGG
rnacentral:rRNA from 1 species